CAGCAUGAAGACAGAAUGAAGAGAAACAGAUGCUGAGAGAGGAAUAGUGAAUAUAGAAAAUGAAGAUUUCACUGGAGAGCUGAUUUAGUGAAACAGUGAAGACGUUUAUUCAAGAUGCAUUCGAGGCGUUUUUUAGAUGCUGGCCGGAAGAGAGGUCAGAGAGGCAAACAGCGGAUUUUUGGCACAGAAAGAGACGUAGGAGAACGAAGGGACAGCUACGAGGAUUACAACACAGUACAGAGGCGAUCGCAACGCACAUCAGUGAGACGCCAAUUCUACAGACCGUAAUUGAAGGAGAAAGGUCCAACGAUAUGUACUGGUACUACCAUCUGGUUAAAUCGAUACAAAUGAACUGAUAAACUUUGGACUACAAACAACUAGAUGCUCUCCAGUGAAAUCUUCAUUUUCUACAUGAUACCUCCUUUCUGGACGUGGCAAAACCAGAUCACUGUCGGAUUGAGCUAUUACUGAUACAUACGGUUUGUGGCAACAAGUUAUUUGUAUUUUGAAUAGUGAAUAUAAACUUGAUUAUUGCAGAAACAGUGCACAAUUUUCCACUUUAAGCUUCUCUGCAUUGUUAUUGAUUGAUACUGUACGUAAC